GAUGAACGCUGGCGGCGUGCCUAAUACAUGCAAGUCGAGCGAACGGACGAGAAGCUUGCUUUUCGGAUGUUAGCGGCGGACGGGUGAGUAACACGUGGAUAACCUACCUAUAAGACUGGGAUAAUUUCGGGAAACCGGAGCUAAUACCGGAGAAUAUUUUGAACCGCAUGGGUCAAAAGUGAAAUACGGUCUUGCUGUCACGUCUAGAUGGAUACGCGCUGCAUUAGCUAGUUGGUAAGUUAACGGCUUACCAAGGCAACGAGGCAUAGCCGACCUGAGAGGGUGAUCGGCCACACUGGAACUGAGACACGGUCCAGACUCCUACGGGAGGCAGCAGUAGGGAAUCUUCCGCAAUGGGCGAAAGCCUGACGGAGCAACGCCGCGUGCGUGAUGAAGGUCUUCGGAUCGUAAAACUCUGUUAUUAGGGAAGAACAUAUGUGUAAGUAACUGUGCACAUCUUGACGGUACCUAAGCAGAAAGCCACGGCUAACUACGUG
rnacentral:rRNA from 1 species